rnacentral:rRNA from 1 species
CUGCGCCGGCAGCAGUGGGGGAUAUUGCACAAUGGGGGGAACCCUGAUGCAGCGACGCCGCGUGGGCGAUGGAGCGCCUCGGCGCGUAAAGCCCUAUCAACAGGGAAGAAGAUGACGGUACCUGACUAAGAAGCCCCGGCUAAAUACGUGCCAGCAGCCGCGGUAAUACGUAUGGGGCAAGCGUUAUCCGGAUUUACUGGGUGUAAAGGGAGCGCAGGCGGCCUGGCAAGCCUGAUGUGAAAUACCGGGGCCCAACCCCGGGGCUGCAUUGGGAACUGCCAGGCUGGAGUGCCGGAGAGGCAGGG